GACGAACGCUGGCGGCGUGCUUAACACAUGCAAGUCGAACGGAAAGGCCCUGCUUUUGUGGGGUGCUCGAGUGGCGAACGGGUGAGUAACACGUGAGUAACCUGCCCUUGACUUUGGGAUAACUUCAGGAAACUGGGGCUAAUACCGGAUAGGAGCUCCUGCUGCAUGGUGGGGGUUGGAAAGUUUCGGCGGUUGGGGAUGGACUCGCGGCUUAUCAGCUUGUUGGUGGGGUAGUGGCUUACCAAGGCUUUGACGGGUAGCCGGCCUGAGAGGGUGACCGGCCACAUUGGGACUGAGAUACGGGCCAGACUCCUACGGGAGGCAGCAGUGGGGAAUAUUGCACAAUGGGCGGAAGCCUGAUGCAGCAACGCCGCGUGCGGGAUGACGGCCUUCGGGUUGUAAACCGCUUUCGCCUGUGACGAAGCGGGAGUGACGGUAAUGGGUAAAGAAGCACCGGCUAACUACGUG
rnacentral:rRNA from 1 species